UUACGGCCACAUCACAUUAAAUACACAAAUUCCGGUACGAUCGCCAAAAUUAAGCAAUGUCGAGCCUGGUCAGUACCUAGAUGGGUGACUGCUUGGGAAUACCAGGUGUUGUAAG